GCUUAACACAUGCAAGUCGAACGGAAAGGCUCCAGCUUGCUGGGGUGCUCGAGUGGCGAACGGGUGAGUAACACGUAAGUGAUCUGCCCUGCACUGGGGGAUAAGCUUGGGAAACUGGGUCUAAUACCCUAUAGGACCGCAUCGUGGUUGGUGUGGUGGAAAGGUUUUUCUGGUGUGGGAUGAGCUUGCGGCCUAUCAGCUUGUUGGUGGGGUAAUGGCCUACCAAGGCGGCGACGGGUAGCCGGCCUGAGAGGGUGUGCGGCCACAUUGGGACUGAGAUACGGCCCAGACUCCUACGGGAGGCAGCAGUGGGGAAUUUUGCACAAUGGGCGGAAGCCUGAUGCAGCGACGCCGUGUGGGGGAUGAAGGCCUUCGGGUUGUAAACUCCUUUCGUCAGGGACGAAGUUUUUUUGACGGUACCUGGAUAAGAAGCA
rnacentral:rRNA from 1 species